GACGAACGCUGGCGGCGUGCCUAAUACAUGCAAGUCGAGCGAAGCGGCGGACGGGUGAGUAACACGUAAGGAACUACCGAUAAGCGGGGGACAACAUCCGGAAACGGGUGCUAAUACCGCAUACUUAUCGAUGGCCUUGCGGUGCAUUAGCUCGUUGGUGGGGUAACGGCCUACCAAGGCAAUGGUGCAUAGCCGACCUGGGAGGGGAAUCGGCCACAUUGGGACUGAGACACGGCCCAAACUCCUACGGGAGGCAGCCGUAGGGAAUCUUCCGCAAUGGGCGCAAGCCUGACGAGGCAACGCCGCGUGAGUGAAGAAGGUUUCCGGAUCGUAAAGCUCUGUUGUUAAGGAAGCGGUACUUAACCAGAAAGGGACGGCUAACUACGUGCCAGCAGCCGCGGUAAUUC
rnacentral:rRNA from 1 species